GGAGCCAGGAACUCCUUGAAGGUUCAUAAACCCUAAUCAUGAAGAUCACCAAAUUGAGGGGUUAAUUGUAGCUCAAAUUCAAGAAGGAACAUGGACUAAUGAUCACCUAAGUAUUUCCUACAUCAAAAUUGGAAUCACACGAGCAUGGGCCAAGCACGAAGGCUAACGGGUCAAGAUGAGGCAAGCGGUUACGAGCACGGAUGCACAAGGAAUGAGUACAUCGGAUUCUUAUGAAAUUUAAGCCGAAUCCGGAACAAGAGAAGGAGAAGG
rnacentral:lncRNA from 1 species